AGGCCAUGUCCUGGCUGGAACUGGCAAGCUUAGGCAGAAUCCUUCUUCUUUGGUGGAAGAGUGAGAGCUCCUAUCUCCCUGCAAAGCGCUCUUCUUACAGAACUAUAAUUCAGAAUGAGUACAGAGCCGAGGACGCCAGACUCAGCCAGAGGACGUGGUAGCCCUUUUGCAAGAUGUCUGACCUCUGACUUUCUCCACCCCCAGCCAAACCCAAACUUGGUAGAUUUUGUUUUGUUUUUUAAGAAUUCUUCUUAUCUGGCUGGAGAGACUGCUUAACAGGACUGCAGCUGCUGAAAGAGGUCAGAAGUAUCGGAUUCCCUGGAGCUAGAGUUACAGGUCCAAUUCUGGCAUUGUUGGCUCAAUCGAUACGUGUUUAUUGAACACCCUUGACGGCAGCCCUGGGGUCUCCGGGGGUGCUGGAGACACUGAACAGCAAGAGCACCCUCGGUUCCUGGAAAUCAUAAUUGCUCGUUCUUCUUAUCAGAGGCAGGGCCCCAGUGACCUUCCUCGCUACCCCCCCCCAAGGCAAUGAUGGAGCUACGUAGUGAAAAGCAGAGAGAUGUAUUCGCUUCGCUGUGGCCACAGUGAGAAGGGUGACAAGUAAUGAGGUCCAGGGACCCCCCCCCCCAAUCCAUCUUCAGACUGAGGUUGAGGUUUGAGAGAGAUGCACAGCCAGGUUGUCCCACCGUGUGCUGUGCCGUGUGUCACUGACCCAGACCAGUCUGGGCUCCAGUCUGUCCUGUGUAGAAUUUUUCCCUGACAGACAAGUACCCUCUCUGGCUGUCAGCAGGCUUCAGCUUUUUUUCUUCUCUGAGCAUGAGACUCCUGUCGGAGGGGAUUCCGAUUCCUGGGGGAACCUUUAUCUCAACAGUCUGAUAGCCAAAGGGAUGGGCUCUGUAGAGUCCCUAGAGAGUAUAGGCCAGGAUGGUUUUGUUCUUGCUCCAAGCACAGACCACGCCUGUGAACUCGUUUACUAUUACAGAUGGGGAAACUGAGGCAUGGAGACACCUCUAAGCAACUAAUUAAAGUACAGAGUUGAGAAGGCCAUGAGGAGGGUCCCUCAGAGGUAGUAACUCAUUCAUUCAUUCAUUCAUUCAUUCAAGCUUCAGUCAGCUGUAGUGGAGCAUGCCUAGAGUCCCAGCUGCUCUAGAAAGAUGGAGCAGGAGAACUGUUGGAGCCCAAGAGUUUCAAGUUGGCUUAGGCAACAGAGCAAGACCUGGUCUCUAAAAUAAACAAACUUAAGCAAA
rnacentral:lncRNA from 1 species